rnacentral:snRNA from 1 species
AAACGUGGAAUGAUACAGAGAAGAUUAGUAUGGUCACUGCACUAGGAUGAGAAAAUACUGACCUAGUACUGACAUUGACUU